rnacentral:rRNA from 1 species
AUUGAACGCUGGCGGCAUGCCUUACACAUGCAAGUCGAACGGCAGCACGGGAGCAAUCCUGGUGGCGAGUGGCGAACGGGUGAGUAAUGUAUCGGAACGUGCCCAGUCGUGGGGGAUAACGUAGCGGAAGCUACGCUAAUACCGCAUACGAUCUAUGGAUGAAAGCGGGGGACCGUAAGGCCUCGCGCGAUUGGAGCGGCCGAUAUCAGAUUAGGUAGUUGGUGGGGUAAAGGCCUACCAAGCCGACGAUCUGUAGCUGGUCUGAGAGGACGACCAGCCACACUGGGACUGAGACACGGCCCAGACUCCUACGGGAGGCAGCAGUGGGGAAUUUUGGACAAUGGGCGCAAGCCUGAUCCAGCAAUGCCGCGUGCAGGAUGAAGGCCUUCGGGUUGUAAACUGCUUUUGUACGGAGCGAAAAGGCUCUCUCUAAUACAGGGGGCUCAUGACGGUACCGUAAGAAUAAGCACCGGCUAACUACGUGCCAGCAGCCGCCAAUA